UACGUAGGCAGCAAGCGUUGUUCGGAGUUACUGGCGUAAAGGGUGCGUAGGCGGUCCUAUAAGUAUGGUGUGAAAUCUCCCGGCUUAACUGGGAGGUGCGCUAUAGACUGUGGGACUAGAGUGUGGGAGAGGAAAGUGGAAUUCCUGGUGUAGCGGUGAAAUGCGUAGAUAUCAGGAGGAACACCGGUGGUGUAAACGGCUUUCUGGACCAUAACUGACGCUGAGGCACGAAAGCGUGGGUAGCAAACAGG
rnacentral:rRNA from 1 species